GGGGGUGAAAAGUCUUUAUUGCCACCCCCACCCCACUGCAGCGCCACCAUUGGGCCACCACUGCGGGGCCGCCAUUUUGGGGCCGCCAUUUUGUCCCCCAUUCAUCUCCAUUGGCUCCAUUUCGCCCCCCAUUCAUUCAUUCCAAUGCCAUUUUGUCCCCCAUUCAUUCCAAUGCCGCCAUUUUGUCCCCCAUUCAUUUCCACUGACUCCAUUUUGUCCCCCAUUCAUUCAUUCCAAUGCCAUUUUGUCCCCCAUUCAUUUCCAUUGACGCCAUUUUCUCCUCCAUUCAUCUCCAUUGACUCUGUUUUGCCCCCCGUUCAUUUCAAUGCCACCAUUUUGUCCCCCAUUCAUCUCCAUUGACUCCAUUUUGUCCCCCAUUCAUUCAUUCCAAUGCCGCCAUUUUCUCCUCCAUUCAUCUCCAUUGACUCUGUUUUGCCCCCCGUUCAUUUCAAUGCCACCAUUUUGUCCCCCAUUCAUCUCCAUUGACUCCAUUUCAUCCCCCAUUCAUUCAUUCCAAUGCCAUUUUGUCCCCCAUUCAUUCCAAUGCCACCAUUUUGCCCCUCAUUCAUUUCCAUUGACGCCAUUUUCUCCUCCAUUCAUCUCCACUGAUUCCAUUUUGUCCUCCAUUCAUCUCCACUGCCACCAUUUUGCCCCCCAUUCAUCUCCAUUGACACCAUUUUGUCCCCCAUUCACUCCAAUGUUACCACUUUGUAACCCAUUCAUGCUGCCAUUUUGUCCCCCAUUCAUUCCAAUGUCAUCACUUUGCCCCCCAUUCAUUUCCAUGGACUCCAUUUUGCCCCCCAUUCAUUCCAAUGCCGCCAUUUUGUCCCCCAUUCAUUUCCAUUGACUCCAUUUUGCCCCCCAUUCAUUUCAAUGCCACCGUUUAAUCCCCAUUCAUCUCUACUGACUCCAUUUCUUCCCCCAUUCAUCUCCACUGCCACCAUUUUGCCCCCCAUUCAUCUCCAUUGACUCCAUUUUGUCCACCAUUCAUUCCAAUGCCACCACUUUUAUCACCCAUCCAUUCCAAUACCUCCAUUUUGUCCCCCAUCCAUUCAUUCCAACGCCACCACUUUGUCCCCAUUCAUCUCCAUUGACUCCAUUUUGUCCCCCAUUCAUUCCAACGCCGCCAUUUUGUCCCCCAUUCAUUUCCAUUGACUCCAUUUUGUCCCCCAUUCAUUCCAAUGUCAUCACUUUGCCCCCCAUUCAUUUCCAUUGACUCCAUUUCGUCCCCCAUUCAUUCCAAUGCCGCCAUUUUGUCCCCCAUUCACUUCCAUUGAUGCCAUUUUCUCCUCCAUUCAUCUCCAUUGACUCUGUUUUGCCCCCCAUUCAUCUCCACUGAUUCCAUUUCGUCCCCCAUUCAUUUCCACUGCCACCAUUUUGUCCCCCAUUCAUUUCAAUGCCACCAUUUUGCCCCCCAUUCAUCUCCAUUGACUCCAUUUUGUCCCCCAUUCAUCUCCACUGCCACCAUUUUGCCCCCCAUUCAUCUCCAUUGACUCCAUUUUGUCCCCCAUUCAUUCCAACGCCACCAUUUUGUCCCCCAUUCAUUUCCAUUGACUCCAUUUUGUCCCCCAUUCGUUUCAAUGCCACCAUUUUGCCCCCCAUUCAUCUCCAUUGACUCCAUUUUGUCCCCCAUUCAUCCAUUCCAAUGCCAUUUUGCCCCCCAUUCAUUCCAAUGUCACCACUUUGUCCCCCAUUCAUUUCCAUGCCACCGUUCUCUCCUCCAUUCAUCUCCAUUGACUCCAUUUUGUCCCCAUCCCUUCCACUGCCACCACUGUCCCCCCAUUGACGCCCCCAUCCUACCCACGUCUCACCACUCCGCCACCGUCCCGUUGUCCCAACGCCUCCACCUGCAGAAGCCACACAGAUUUCACCCCAUUGCCCC
ensembl:lncRNA